rnacentral:lncRNA from 1 species
AAAGAGGGGGAGGAAUUGGGUCCUGCCAAAUCUGGGAGGGUGUGAGCGGCGACGGGGCGUUGGCCCUUGGAAGCGGCCGGAGAAUCUUCUGGGGAGGACCUGCCCAUGGUCAAGUUCUUUCUGGGCCAAGAAAAUGAAAGAGUGUUUAGACUGCCGGUAGGUGGUGAACAGAGAGGCCGGCUUUAAAGGGCCUGGACGGUGUAAGCAUGGCCUGGGGAUGGGCCCCAGAGAGAAUGCAGCUCUCCUAAGCCAGCAUUUGCUGAGACCCUAAGAGGAGAAAAUUCUAGAUUCUUAAGAAAGUUCCAGUGAAGCUCCACUCAUCCAGGAAAAGAAGUCUGGGCCGUUUCAGACUUCCAUCUACAAUUUCUGAGAAGAUUUUUCAGGAAAAAGAAAAUGUGUUCACGGAACGGACUCCAAAAACCUUGCAAAUGUGCCCAGGAUGUUAUUCCUUCGGUAGGGAAGAGCUCUGGGCGGUGCAUGUUUGAGUGGGCCUCCUACUAACUGCGCUUGGUGCUUGAUCGCGAGUCUUACCGCUGGGUGACACAGGACAAGCCCAUGCCCAGGGCU